rnacentral:rRNA from 1 species
AGCAGCCGCGGUAAUUCCAGCUCCAAUAGCGUAUAUUAAAGUUGUUGCAGUUAAAAAGCUCGUAGUUGAAUUUCGGGAUCAGUUUGUUGGUCGUGCUUCGGUACGUACUGUCAUUACUGGUUUCUACCUUCUGAAGAACCUUGAUGUCAUUAAUUUGGUGUCUUGGGGAAUCAGGACUGUUACUUUGAAAAAAUUAGAGUGUUUAAAGCAAGCAUACGCUUGAAUACAUUAGCAUGGAAUAAUGAAAUAGGACGUUUGAUUCUAUUUUGUUGGUUUCUAGGAUCGACGUAAUGAUUAAUAGGGAUAGUUGGGGGCAUUAGUAUUCAAUUGUCAGAGGUGAAAUUCUUGGAUUUAUUGAAGACUAACUACUGCGAAAGCAUUUGCCAAGGAUGUUUUCAUUAAUCAAGAACGAAAGUUAGGGGAUCGAAGACGAUCAGAUACCGUCGUAGUCUUAACCAUAAACUAUGCCGACUAGGGAUCGGAUGAUGUUAUUUUUAAUGACUCAUUCGGCGCCUUAAC